rnacentral:rRNA from 1 species
AUUGAACGCUGGCGGCAUGCCUUACACAUGCAAGUCGAACGGUAACAGGUCUUCGGAUGCUGACGAGUGGCGCACGGGUGAGUAAUACAUCGGAUCGUGCCCGAUCGUGGGGGAUAACGAGGCGAAAGCUUUGCUAAUACCGCAUACGAUCUACGGAUGAAAGCGGGGGAUCUUCGGACCUCGCGCGGACGGAGCGGCCGAUGGCAGAUUAGGUAGUUGGUGGGAUAAAAGCUUACCAAGCCGACGAUCUGUAGCUGGUCUGAGAGGAUGAUCAGCCACACUGGGACUGAGACACGGCCCAGACUCCUACGGGAGGCAGCAGUGGGGAAUUUUGGACAAUGGGCGAAAGCCUGAUCCAGCCAUGCCGCGUGCAGGAUGAAGGCCUUCGGGUUGUAAACUGCUUUUGUACGGAACGAAAAGCCUCUUUCUAAUAAAGAGGGGUCAUGACGGUACCGUAAGAAUAAGCACCGGCUAACUACGUG